GAAUCUUCCACAAUGGGCGAAAGCCUGACGGAGCAACGCCGCGUGAGUGAAGAAGGUUUUCGGAUCGUAAAACUCUGUUGUAAGGGAAGAACAAGUACAGUAGUAACUGGAUGUACCUUGACGGUACCUUAUUCGAAAGCCACGGCUCCUACGUGCCAGUCGCCGCGGUAAAACGUAGGUGGCAAGCGUUGUCCUGAAUUAUUGGGCGUAAAGCGCGGGCAGGCGGUCCUUUAAGGCUGAUGUGAAAGCCCACGGCUCAACCGUGGAGGGUCAUUGGAAACUGGGGGACUUGAGUCCAGAAGAGGAAAGUGGAAUUCUAAGUGUAGCGGUGAAAUGCGUAGAGAUUUGGAGGAACACCAGUGGCGUAGGCGACUUUCUGGUCUGUAACUGACGCUGAGGCGCGAAAGCGUGGGGAGCAAACAGG
rnacentral:rRNA from 1 species